GUGUGCGUGCGUGUGCUGCGUGUUGAUCUGGGUUAGGACGGAACUGGCUUCCGCCAAAGCUGACCAGAAAGCUGCCAGCCCAGCCCCCACCUGUCCUCCCUUCCAAGCAAGGACAGCUGGGCCACCUGUCUGCUUCCUCCAACCUGGCCCACCCCCAGCCCACCAGGACCAAAGCCUCUUGUUUUCCCCUGGCUGGGCCUGAGGGCACCGGCCAACAAAGGGGCCUGCUGCUGCCAUCCACAGAAAGCGCCUGCCUCCCACUCUAGGACCCAGGUCCCUACUGAGGCUGGAUCCAACGGGCUUAUGCACGGGGACGGGACCUGGCAGAGCAGCUCAGGAAGGUUCCAGUGGAGGAGCACACCGCACCAGGCUCCGCCAACCUGGGAGAAGGAGAAAUAACCAUGGAAGAUGGAAGUGGCCCCGUGCAAUCACCCUGCCACCAGGGCUGGCUGCCCCGGGGGGCGGUGUCCUGUCUGGACAGUCAUAUGUGGAGCGGGCCAGUUUCUUCCUCUGUCGGCUGGACACAGGGACCCCCACGGGUGAGGAGUCCAUGCAGUGAUGGGCGUCAUUAGCUCGUGCCCCAGGACCCGCUCACGUCUGCCGGCGUGGCUGAUGAGGGGGCCGUGCCGCGUGGGGAAGUUCUCAGCCUGUGGGGCUGGUGGACACCGAUCGAGGUGGCAGCUGGGAUCACACGGGGACUUCGCGCCCCCCGUUUGCACUGGGUCUCACCUGAGGCCCAACAGCGAGGCAGAAGCUGGGUCUCCCCAGGAGACUCCGUAUUGCCAGAAGAGGACGGGACUCCACUCCGCGGUCCCAGCCGUCUGCACCUGCAGGAGCCGCCAUGGCGCCCACACACCAUCCCAUGCCCAGACUCUUCGGGGUCCUGCGUCUGCCGGGCCAGCAGGGCUGGAGGGUGCCACGGCUGCCCACAGCCUUCUCUCCUUCCACGCCUGCUCAGAACCAGCCUAGGGGAGCAGGACACCAGGCGGAAGAGCACCCCAAGGCGCGCAUCCGAAGAGACCCGGGAGCCGCCGGCCGGGCGGAGGCGCCUGGUGCAGCAGGUGCUUCCUCUUAGCGGGGGCGGCUCACGCGUGCUCACGGUCCCUGGCAAUGUCCCUGAGGUGCCCCGACACGCCCGUGUCGCGCCAGGUCUCCCCGGUGUUCGUGACUUCUGGCUCAUUAGGCCCGAGCCUCACCACGCUGCUGCCGCUGCCGCCGCCCUGCUGUCCAAGGGGUACUUCCGAGACCCCUCGAGGACCGACGCCAGCGAAAGACGAACAACGACAAUCAUAAAACAGAGGCCUGACGGUGUCCUGCCGUACAGGAGCCGAGGACCAGGCCCUUCCUGCGAUCGCCCGCUGGGCCUCCCGGCAGCAGGCAAGCGCCCUCCGCGGGCCGCACCUCCCACCUGUGACACUUCACCCCUCCUGUGACAGCGUGAGUUAGUGCCCCGUCCGUGUGAUGAGACCAGGUGAGGUGGGGGACGCGGGGGACUGUAGGGUCCCUGAACACCAGCACCGUGACGCCACCAUGGUGGGUCUGACCGCUGCAGGGACUGUGGGCCAGGUUCCGUCACUGUGACAGGACGCCUGAGGAAAUGAAUAGAGGAAAAGGGUCGUCCUGGCUCGAGCUUCAGAGGCUGCAUCCACGGGCGCCUGACCUGUUGCUCUGGGCCUGUGGGGCUGUGGCCCAGCACGGCAAGAGCUCAGGGCAGAGGCGGCCAACCGCCUGCCUCACGGUGGCUGAAAAGCAGGGCAGAGAUAGGAAGGGAGCAGCGUCCUAAGAGCCCUCAAGGCACGUCCCCAAGGUCCUGACUUCUUCCCCCCGGGCCCCACAUCCUGGGGUUCCACCACCUUCCGACUGUGCCACCAUCCAAUGACAAGCCUUCAGCGCACGGGCUUUCUGGGGACAAGUCAUAGCAGUGACUAACGGGCAGGGCGUGUACACAGGUCAGAUACGCUGGACAAAGGGAUGGCGCCCGUUCCAGGCGGGCGGAGCAGCGUGAACUUUCGGCAUGCUACUCUGAAGGGCGGAUGGUUGAGAGCUUGUGGAUCAUUUACCGGAAUUUUCCACGUCGUAUUUGUGGACCAUGGUUUUCUGAAGUAAUGAGUACAGAGAACAGAAAUUGCCAGGUGUUGGAAGCUGUGUUGAUUUUCUCCAUUAAGGGUACUACAUCCAAGCCGAGUGAGGUGGCGCACGCUUGUAAUCCCAGUGACUUGGGAGGCCGAGGCAGGAGGAUGGCAAGUUUGAGGCCAACCUCAGCAACUGAGUGAGACUCUGUCUCAAAAUAAGAAGAUCUGGGGAUGUCGCUGAGUCAUAGAGCGCCCUGGGUUCGAUCCUUAGAACAGCAAAACAAAGCAAAGCAAGGGCCACCUGCCCCAGGAGAGCACAUGAAACUGGACUCGUCUUACCAAGUUUACGAUGUGACUUUUGGUUUCUAUUUCGAGAGAGAGAGAGAGGCAGUCCUGGUGGCUUCUGCCUAGCCAUUUCUGCAGAACGGCCCCCCUCUACCCAUCAGGGAGCCACGGUGAGGACGCUGCCAACCGCCGAGCUGUCUAUUUCACUCUGCUUUGUGGGACCAGGUGGGGCGGCCUGGUCACAGGUGACUCCAGCGCCCGCUGAGCCUCCGUGAGACGGGUCAGAGUGCAGCCCGUCCACGGCUGGGCCUCUCCAGCCCCCUCUGACUGCCGCUCCUGUGGGGACUCGUGCCAGCUGGAGUCGAUACCGGCUCAGGCCUGGUGCACCCCCAAAUCUGAGUACUUCCUUUCUCUGGCCACCCGUCCCAGAUGAUGGCCCCAGUUCUCUGCGGCAGGCGGGGAGAUGGUGCACACUCAGUGGUGGCAGCAGGACCAGGUCCUUCCUCAAGGAGACCCGGCCUCCCCUUCACCCCGGGGCUCUGGAUGAACUCCGGGCGUUGGCCGAGGGGCCGCGGGUGUCCGCUGGGCCUAUCAGGUGGGGCAUUGAGGCAGCAGGUGUGGUGAGCUGCUUAUUCAAAUCGAGGACCACCCGGGUUGAGCCGUGUGGAAUGGAGUUUGCAAGCCGUCACCAGCCAUCCAGGGACGAUCUGGGACACUCGGGAGGGAGAGCCCAGGACAUACUCAAACUCCUCGCCAUUUCACACGCGGGACCUGAGCGCCGGGAUCUCCCAUGGAUCCGGGGACGCCUGUGAGGCCUUGCGAGGGGGCCGCUCCCAGGCCUGGAGAGAUGGUCCCCGGGUCUCGACCCGGCGUGUUGCUCGGCAGGGAGGGCUGGGCACAAGGGGCCCCCCGCCAGGCCCUCCAGUGCAGCCGUGGCCCCCGUGGGAGUCCUCGCCAGCAGGUCUCUUGCCGUGGCUGCGGCUGUGGUCCCUGGACGUGGCUCCCGUGGCACUGGCUCCCUGCGCCUGGGGUGAUGGUUUCAGGGGCUGUUUUGACAGCCGGGUGGCGAGUCCCUGGGUCCCUUCUCUGCGGCCGCGGGAUCCGUGCCUUUGCCUGUGGUCGGCCAGUUGGCAGCUUCCGGGAACUCUUCUCCAGGUUUUCUUCUCCCGGCCCCACUUCUGUCCCUGCCAUGUGGGCUGCAACCGGAAAGCAGCCACUAGGUCUUGCUGAAGCCAGGGGCUUGCUGUAGGGGGUCCAGGGUGCAGGAGUCCAGGUCUGGGCAUCUGCAGCCAGAGGACCCAGGAAGACGGUCAUCACGCACUUUGCAUGAGGGCCGGCCACCACAGACACCCAGGGGAGACUCAGCGGGGUGCUCAGAGCCAAGUCCCUCCGCACGGGGCAGGGCGGAAGCUAAGGCAGAGCCGUGUGAGGGGUGGCCUUGCCGUGGUUUCUGGCUGACUUAGGCCUCACGAAUCUUUCGAAAGCCCCUCUCACCAGGGCCACAGCGCGGAGGGCAUCCUGGGUCGUCCUGGCCAUGUCAGAGGGGGUCCUGGGGGCCCUGACGGUCACGCCCUCUCCGCCUCUGUUCUGGGUCGGUGUGGAGGACCUUGGCGUCUGCGGUCCUGUGGCGCCUCGGACCCGGCCCCUCAAACGGUGCCUGGCCCCCCGGGUCGCCCUCACCAACAGGCGUCCGACUGAGCAGUGCGGCUCUUUCACACGUCUUCCAAGGCUCUGUAUUUCAGGAAGAUGUUCUGGAAUCCUGUUCUUUGGGUCUGCCCAUGGCUUUGGUCUCCUCCGGGGAUGACUCGCUGUCUUCUGUGCCUGGUUGUCCCCCUCGAUGCUUGUGUUUGGUCUCAGUGCUUCUUUCCUGUUUGAACCCCUCCUGAUCUCCAUGGUCUGUCUCUUUCUUUGCCAUUACUUGUAGUAAUUAUCUGCUUUUAUGCUCUUUUUCAUUUUUGUUUUCUUUUCAUUUUUCGUACCAGGGAUGGAACCCAGGGGUGCUUAACAACUGAGCCACAUCCCGGUCCUCCUUAUUUUUUAUUUUGA